rnacentral:rRNA from 1 species
UACGGAGGGUGCGAGCGUUAAUCGGAAUUACUGGGCGUAAAGGGUUCGUAGGUGGUUAAUUAAGUUAUCUGUAAAAUCCCUGGGCUCAACCUGGGCAGGUCAGAUAAUACUGGUUAACUCGAGUAUGGGAGAGGGUAGUGGAAUUUCCGGUGUAGCGGUGAAAUGCGUAGAGAUCGGAAGGAACACCAGUGGCGAAGGCGGCUACCUGGCCUAAUACUGACACUGAGGAACGAAAGCGUGGGGAGCAAACAGG